GACUCUCGGCAACGGAUAUCUCGGCUCUUGCAUCGAUGAAGAACGUAGCGAAAUGCGAUACUUGGUGUGAAUUGCAGAAUCCCGUGAACCAUCGAGUCUUUGAACGCAAGUUGCGCCCUAGGCCUUCUGGUCGAGGGCACGUCUGCCUGGGCGUCA
rnacentral:rRNA from 6 species